GGCGAUGCAGGUUGGCCUCUCGGCCUAUUAGCUUGUUGGUGCAGUAACGGCCCACCAAUGCGACGACGGGUAGCCGGCCUGAGAGGGCGACCGGCCACACUGGGACUGAUACACGGCCCAGACUCCUACGGGAGGCAGCAGUGUGGAAUAUUGCACAAUGGGCGAAAGCCUGAUGCAGCGACGCCGCGUGAGGGAUGACGGGCUUCGGGUUGUACACCUCUUUCAGCUGGGAAGAAGGGCAAGUGAGGGUACCUGCAGGAGAAGCACCGGCUAACUACGGGCCAGCAGCCGCGGUAAUACGUAGGGUGCGAG
rnacentral:rRNA from 1 species